AAUCCAUAAAGUGCGACUAAACGAGUCAAAGACCGAGUAUAGGGAAUUUUCCAACACUAGGACCGCUUCACCGAGCCGUGAAAACAUCAUCCAGGCCAAGGAAUUUUACUCUGACGGCGCAGCCAGGGAACCAACUUAAUAGGGUGAGGACCAACGAUACCAUGAGCAUCUCUAAAAGUUCGAACGACUUACCUCUCCGACUGGGAGCUACAAACUCCUCAAUAUCUUCGCCAGGUUCCUCGAUAGCUCGAGGUCUGGGAGUUUCUCGGCCUCAAGCUCCUUGAGGAGUGGCCAAUUUUUGUACAAAUAAAAUAACAUUUGACCUCGA